rnacentral:rRNA from 1 species
UGAAUACGAGACGCUACGGCGUCGAAGCAGUCUAUGUCAUACUUCCAAGAGAAGCUUGCACUGUCGUAAACAAAUAAUGCCUGUACCAUAACCGACACAGGUGGGUAGGUAGAGUAUACUAAGGGGCGCGAGAUAACUCUCUCUAAGGAACUCGGCAAAAUGACUCCGUAACUUCGGGAGAAGGAGUGCCUUAUUUAUAAGGUUGCAAUAACAAGAUCCAAGCAACUGUUUAUCAAAAACACAGGUCUCCGCUAAGUCGUAAGACGAUGUAUGGGGGCUGACGCCUGCCCAGUGCCAGAAGGUUAAAGAAGUUGGUUAGCAUUAGCGAAGCUGAUAACUGAAGCCCUGGUGAACGGCGGCCGUAACAAUAACGGUCCUAAGGUAGCGAAAUUCCUUGUCGGGUAAGUUCCGACCCGCACGAAAGGCGUAAUGAUUUGGAUACUGUCUCGGAGAGGGGCUCGGUGAAAUAGACUUGUCUGUGAAGAUGCGGACUACCUGCACCUGGACAGAAAGACCCUAUGAAGCUUUACUGUAACUUGAAAUUGAAAUUGGACUUUAUUUGCGCAGCAUAGGUGGGAGGCGUUGAAAAUAUUCUUGCGGGAAUAUCUGAGCCAUCAGUGAGAUACCACUCUUGUAAUGUUAGAUUUCUAACUUUGUAUCAUUAUCUGGUCAAAGAACAGUUUCAGGCGGGCAGUUUGACUGGGGCGGUCGCCUCCUAAACGGUAACGGAGGCGCACAAAGGUUUCCUCUGAACGGGUAGAAAUCGUAUCUAGAGUGUAAAGGCAUAAGGAAGCUUGACUGUGAGACCUACAAGUCGAGCAGGGACGAAAGUCGGUCUUAGUGAUCUGACGGUGCUGAGUGGAAAGGCCGUCACUCAACGGAUAAAAGUUACUCUAAGGAUAACAGGCUGAUCUCCCCCAAGAGUUCACAUCGACGGGGAGGUUUGGCACCUCGAUGUCGGCUCAUCGCAUCCUGGGGCGGUAGUACGUCCCAAGGGUUGGGCUGUUCGCCCAUGAAAGCGGUACGCGAGCUGGGUUCAGAACGUCGUGAGACAGUUCGGUCCAUAUCCGGUGUAGGCGUUAGAAUAUUGAGAGGAGCCUUCUUUAGUACGAGAGGACCGAGAAGGACAUACCUCUGGUGUACCAGUUAUCGUGCCAACGGUAAACGCUGGGUAGCUAUGUAUGGAGAGGAUAACCGCUGAAAGCAUCUAAGUGGGAAGCCCACCUCAAGAUAAGUAUUCUC